UGGCAGGGCUGGGCUCGGGGAAGGACACGUCUGGGGAAGCUGCCCGCUUUGAAAGUCGGGGAGGGGCCGAACCACAUGGGUUGGCUCCAACCUCGGGCCUUUCUCCCCCUCUCAGGUUGAGGCCCUCGAUCCUGAUCCCUGACCCCGGGAUGCCGAGCUCAGGCCUGCGAAAGGGCAGCAGGAAGCCAGGGGCUGGGACAAGUGGAGGAUACCCCUGCCCACGACCACUCGGCCCACCCCCAAGCACGAACACGGAGGCCGGGAAGACGAAGGGAAAAAAAAAACCUCACCCACAGGCAGAAGAGAUUUCAAUACAAUCUAUAUUAUCUCAUAUAUAGAUCUCUCACUUUAUUUGCUCACUUCUGUCACGCAUUUAAAAUGUCAGAGACCAAAAUAGAGCGGCUUUCUGGUGGAACUCAUGGCAGUCAUACACGAGAUACAAAACUAGGGGACUCUGUCCUCUCAUACAUCAUACAAUUAAUUUUUCAAGUAUCUUUUAUGUACAAAGAGCUACUCUAUUGGGG